GACGAACGCUGGCGGCGUGCCUAAUACAUGCAAGUCGAGCGAAGUUUUUCUGGUGCUUGCACUAGAAAAACUUAGCGGCGAACGGGUGAGUAACACGUAAAGAACCUGCCUCAUAGACUGGGACAACUAUUGGAAACGAUAGCUAAUACCGGAUAACAGUAUUUCUCGCAUGAGAGAUAUUUAAAAGUUGGUUAUGCUAACACUAUGAGAUGGCUUUGCGGUGCAUUAGCUAGUUGGUGGGGUAAAGGCCCACCAAGGCGACGAUGCAUAGCCGACCUGAGAGGGUGAUCGGCCACACGUGGACUGAGACACGGCCCAGGCUCCUACGGGAGGCAGCAGUAGGGAAUCUUCCGCAAUGGGCGAAAGCCUGACGGAGCAACGCCGCGUGAGUGAAGAAGGAUUUCGGUUCGUAAAGCUCUGUUGUUAGGGAAGAAUGGAUAUGUAGUAACUAUACAUGUAAGAGACGGUACCUAACCAGAAAGCCACGGCUAACUACGUG
rnacentral:rRNA from 1 species